UCGAAGUCUCAAAAGACUAAUCGCCAGACGAGGUCGACCUUCUCUUAUCUACUCGGACAACGCGAAGACGUUCCAAGCGGCUGCUUCAUGGUUAAACAAGGUGAUGAAAGACGAGAAAUUCCACAGUGAACUGAGCAAGUAUGAGAUCAAGUGGAGAUUCAAUUUGUCAAUUUGAACGAUUAAUCGGAAUUUUCAAAUGUGCUUUUUACAAGGUUAUCGGCAAAGGACUUUUGACAUUUGAAGAGCUGUCGGAAGUUGUUCUAGAUGUAGAAAUCUGUAUGAAUAACCGGCCACUAAGCUACUUAGAGGAUGAUAUUGAAUUUCCUAUUCUUACACCAAAUUCCUUUGUGCUACAACAGUCGAAUGUUGUGCCAGAGCUAGAAUGUUAUCAUAUUGAGGACGGUGAUCUACGAAAGAGGGCAAGGUACUUGCAAAGCGUAAAGAACCAUUUAUGGAGACGAUGGCAAAGAGAGUACCUGACGAGUUUACGGCAGCGUCAUCAGACCAACAGCAAGUCAACUACAGUUGGUCCCAAUGAAGGAAAUAUUGUGUUGAUCAAAGGCGACGAGAAGAACAGAAACAAGUGGAAAAUGGGAAAAGUUACGAAGUUAAUUCGUGGGAAAGAUAACGUUGUCAGGGGAGUUAAACUUCAAUGCGCUAAAUCGACUAUAGAAAGACCGAUUCAACUGAUUUAUCCCUUGGAACUGGAAUGCGACGUGGGGAAAUGCGAGACGAAAUUGAAUACCAAUGCAAAAGAAUUCAAGCCAAGACGACAAGCAGCGGUCAAAGCAGAAGCAAAGAAUAAGGAACUGUUUGAACGGGAUGAGAAGGACGAAUGACAAUUAAACAUUGAGACAUCGGGGUUUACUAGUAUAACAUGCGACUCCUUAUGAGUCACAUGGGGGGAGGGUGUUGGAAAUUGACGUUAUUUUGCUUUAUACAUUAGUGUAUUUUGAAGGACAACAAUGGACAUUUAGAGUUAGUAGGGGAUUGCUGAACACGUGCGAGAAAACAGGGGGGAGUGAACAAUGUUGGGACUGUGACUUGGGAUUUUAAAACAGCGAGUUGGGAGUAUAGUUUAUUGCUAUUAAAUUAUAAAAUACAUUUCGUGUUCCGUACUUAUUUGGAGGCACAAUUUCGGAAUAGUAUCUUUCGCCUUUCUGAAAGGGUAGGUCAUAAUUUUUCAGCACCAAUUUAAGGGUGGGCUACAAAUUUUUGAGCAGCUAUUAAGGGGUAGGCUACCAAAAUUCAGCCCUCGAAAACGAGGUCGGCAUUCG